AGCGAUUUGUAACGGCUCCUUUCCUCAAUUUCGUGACUGCUGUCAUCUCUAACACACGGAAGAACAUCCACAUAAACCCUGAAAUUGUUCAGUAUUCUCUCAACAGCCGUUUGAGUCACCUCAAAUGUAGCAGAGGGCCAGAUUGAAACGGUCCGACGCACUUCACUUGCAAUGCAGAUCAUCAUUUCUGGACAGCUUUCUACUUACUGCUGUGGACAUGAAAGGUUCAGCAGACU